rnacentral:rRNA from 1 species
AUUGAACGCUGGCGGCAUGCUUUACACAUGCAAGUCGAACGGCAGCGCGGACUUCGGUCUGGCGGCGAGUGGCGAACGGGUGAGUAAUAUAUCGGAACGUACCCAAGAGUGGGGAUAACGUAGCGAAAGUUACGCUAAUACCGCAUACGAUCUAAGGAUGAAAGCAGGGGAUCGCAAGACCUUGUGCUCCUGGAGCGGCCGAUAUCUGAUUAGCUAGUUGGUGAGGUAAAGGCUCACCAAGGCAACGAUCAGUAGCUGGUCUGAGAGGACGACCAGCCACACUGGAACUGAGACACGGUCCAGACUCCUACGGGAGGC